CAGCCGCCACGGUAAUACGUAGGUGGCAAGCGUUGUCCGGAAUUAUUGGGCGUAAAGGGCUCGCAGGCGGUUUCUUAAGUCUGAUGUGAAAGCCCCCGGCUCAACCGGGGAGGGUCAUUGGAAACUGGUAAACUUGAGUGCAGAAGAGGAGAGUGGAAUUCCACGUGUAGCGGUGAAAUGCGUAGGGAUGUGGAGGAACACCAGUGGCGAAGGUGACUCUCUGGUCUGUAACUGACGCUGAGGAGCGAAAGCGUGGGGAGCGAACAGGAUUAGAUACCCCUGUAGUCCCUGUCUCUUAUAC
rnacentral:rRNA from 1 species